CCAGAAAACCGGAUGGCCGCGUCUUUCUGCAAGGAAAGCCGAGGAAAGUCCGGGCUUCACGGAAAAACGGCGCCGGGUAACGCCCGGGGGAGAUCGCAAGAUCUUUACGGAAAGUGCCACAGAAAACAGACUACCUCCGCCCGCAAGGGCAGGGGAAAAGGUGAAAAGGUGCGGUAAGAGCGCACCGCGCACCUGGCAACAGGGGCGGCACGGCAAACCCCGCCGGAAGCAAGACCAAAUAGGGACCGCGCGCCGGCUUGUCCGGCAGGGUGUUUUUCGGACCCGCGGUCCGGGUAGGUUGCUAGAGGGGGCGGGUAACCGUCCUCCCAGAUGAAUGGUCAUCCCCCGGCGCAAGCCGGGGACAGAACCCGGCUUACAGGUUUUUUGGAUAU
rnacentral:RNase_P_RNA from 1 species